rnacentral:misc_RNA from 1 species
AACCUAGCACACCUGCGGUGUGUACCUGCGGAGGGAUCAUUACUGAGUGUAAAAACUCCCAAACCCACUGUGAACAUACCACUGUUGCUUCGGCGGAUGCGCCCCGGGCGCGCCCUACAAAGGCGUGCCCCGGAUCAAGGCCACCGCCGGGGGACCGAAACUCUUGUUUUCCUAAGGAUUCUCUGAGUGUGAUUAUUAAAUCAAAUCAAAACUUUCAACAACGGAUCUCAGAUCGGAAGA